rnacentral:snoRNA from 1 species
CAAAGGAUGAUUCUUCGCAGAUUGAACUGAAUGAAAAGAUUAUUGCAGGAUCAACCACCUGAUG